AUUGAACGCUGGCGGCAGGCCUAACACAUGCAAGUCGAGCGGAUGAAGGGAGCUUGCUCCUGGAUUCAGCGGCGGACGGGUGAGUAAUGCCUAGGAAUCUGCCUGGUAGUGGGGGAUAACGUCCGGAGACGGGCGCUAAUACCGCAUACGUCCUGAGUGAGAAAGUGGGGGAUCUUCGGACCUCACGCUAUCAGAUGAGCCUACGUCGGAUUAGCUAGUUGGUGGGGUAAAGGCCUACCAAGGCGACGCUCCGUAACUGGUCUGAGAGGAUGAUCAGUCACACUGGAACUGAGACACGGUCCAGACUCCUACGGGAGGCAGCAGUGGGGAAUAUUGGACAAAGGGCGAAAGCCUGAUCCAGCCAUGCCGCGUGUGUGAAGAAGGUCUUCGGAUUGUAAAGCACUUUAAGUUGGGAGGAAGGGCAGUAAGUUAAUACCUUGCUGUUUUGACGUUACCAACAGAAUAAGCACCGGCUAACUUCGUG
rnacentral:rRNA from 1 species